rnacentral:rRNA from 1 species
CCUACGGGUGGCUGCAGUGGGGAAUAUUGCUCAAUGGGGGAAACCCUGAUGCAGCGACGCCGCGUGAGUGAUGAAGUAUUUCGGUAUGUUAAGCUGCAUCUGUAGGGAAGUAAAUGACGGUACCUGUUUGAGAUUCCCUGGCUAAUUACGUGCCAGCAGCCGCGGUUAUAUGCAGGGGGCCAGCGUUAUCCGGAUUUACUGGGUGUAAAGGGGGCGUAGACGGCAGGACAAGUGUGUAGUGAACUGCUCGGGCUUAACCCCGGAACUGCAGGGGAAACUGGGGCGCUAGAGUGCAGGCGAGGUAGGUGGAAUGCGUGGUGUAGCGGUGAAAUGCGUAGAUAUGAGGAAGAACCCCGAUUGCGAAGGCAGCUGACUGCACUGUAACUGACGUUGAGGCUCGAAAGCGUGGGUAGCAAACAGGAUGAGAUACCCUAGUAGUC